rnacentral:tRNA from 1 species
UCUUAAGGUGUGUUGCAUAUAAAAUUUUGAUUUUUAAGGGGAUGAAAUAAGAAUUUUAAGAG